rnacentral:rRNA from 1 species
CACGGGGGGAGCAAGCGUUGUUCGGAAUCACUGGGCGUAAAGGGCGUGUAGGCGGUCUGGUAAGUGGGAUGUGAAAGCCCCCGGCUCACCCGGGGAUCUGCAUUCCAUACUGCCAGACUUGAGUAUGGGAGAGGACAGGGGAAUUCCUGGUGUAGCGGUGAAAUGCGUAGAUAUCAGGAAGAACACCGGUGGCGAAAGCGCUCUGCUAGGCCGCAACUGACACUGAGGGACGAAAGCUAGGGGAGCGAAUGGG